rnacentral:rRNA from 1 species
CCUACGGGUGACUGCAGUAGGGAAUAUUGCUCAAUGGGGGAAACCCUGAAGCAGCAACGCCGCGUGGAGGAUGAAGGUUUUCGGAUUGUAAACUCCUUUUGUUAGAGAAGAUAAUGACGGUAUCUAACGAAUAAGCACCGGCUAACUCCGUGCCAGCAGCCGAGGUAAUACGGAGGGUGCAAGCGUUACUCGGAAUCACUGGGCGUAAAGAGCGCGUAGGCGGGAUAGCAAGUCAGAUGUGAAAUCCUAUGGCUUAACCAUAGAACUGCAUUUGAAACUGUUAUUCUAGAGUAGGGGAGAGGUAGGUGGAAUUCUUGGUGUAGGGGUAAAAUCCGUAGAGAUCAAGAGGAAUACUCAUUGCGAAGGCGACCUGCUAGAACAUCACUGACGCUGAUGCGCGAAAGCGUGGGUAGCAAACAGGAUUAGAUACCCUAGUAGUC